UACGGGGGGGGCAAGCGUUGUUCGGAAUUACUGGGCGUAAAGGGCUCGUAGGCGGCCAACUAAGUCGGAUGUGAAAUCCCCAGGCUCAACCUGGGAACUGCAUCCGAUACUGGAUGGCUUGAAUUCGGGAGAGGGAUGCAGAAUUCCAGGUGUAGCGGUGAAAUGCGUAGAUAUCUGGAGGAAUACCGGUGGCGAAGGCGGCAUCCUGGACCGACAUUGACGCUGAUGAGCGAAAGCUAGGGGGAGCAAACGGG
rnacentral:rRNA from 1 species